GAUGAACGCUGGCGGCGUGCCUAACACAUGCAAGUCGAGCGAGUGGAUUUCCUUCGGGAAUGAAGCUAGCGGCGGACGGGUGAGUAACACGCGGGCAACCUACCUCAUAGAGGGGAAUAGCCUCCCGAAAGGGAGAUUAAUACCGCAUAAGAUUGUAGCUUCGCAUGAAGUAGCAAUUAAAGGAGUAAUCCGCUAUGAGAUGGGCCCGCGGCGCAUUAGCUAGUUGGUGAGGUAACGGCUCACCAAGUCGACGAUGCUUAGCCGACCUGAGCGGGUGGUGGGCCACCUUGGGACUGGGACACGGCCCAGAGUCCUACGGGAGGCAGCAGUGGGGAAUAUUGCACAAUGGGGGAAACCCUGAUGCAGCAACGCCGCGUGCGUGAUGGCGGCCUUCGGGUUGUAAAGCUCUGUCUUCAGGGACGAUAAUGACGGUACCUGAGGAGGAAAUGGCUAGAGUGUGACGGUACCUUAUGAGAAAGCCACGG
rnacentral:rRNA from 1 species